UACAGUCACAUCAUGUCGAAACACUUUUUCUCAUAUGAUCACUGAAGUUGAGCAAUGUUGAGCUUGGUCAGUACCGAGAUGAGUGACCACUUGGGAAUACCAGAUGCUGUAA